rnacentral:lncRNA from 1 species
CAGGUCAUAGCCUAGAGAAGAGAAAAACAAGCCCAAAGCAAAAAGGGGAUCCCAUCAAACUGUAUCAUGAGACCACAUAGCAGGACAUGUAAUAUGGUAUAGACACAGAGCAAAAUGUAGCAAAUUAGCUUAUCACAUUCUCACAUGAGUCUAUUUGUGGCUUCUUUGGACUGGCCUCAACCUGCUAUUCUAGAGAUACUUAGCUAAUUCCAGAGCUUAAGUCUCUGGUCUUAAGGUUCUUGGGAAAUGUAUAUAAAUUCCAUCUCUUCACCUCUUUAAAGUGGUAAUGUAUCCACUGCACUAGGUGUGUGGUUUGCCAGACUAGGACAAAUCCCUG